rnacentral:snRNA from 1 species
CCCCAACUUGGAACGAUACAGAAACGAUUAUCAUGGCCCCUGCGCAAGGAUGACACGCACAAAUCGAGAAGGGUGGGAAAAGACC